GCCUAGGUGGCUCAGUCGGUUGAGCAUCCAACUUCAGCUCAGGUCAUACUCGCACGGUUUGUGGGUUCGAGCCCCACAUUGGGCU
rnacentral:tRNA from 1 species